rfam:Canis lupus familiaris chromosome 4, whole genome shotgun sequence.
ACCUGGCUGGCUCAGUGGUUGGAGCAGGUGGCUCUUGAUCUCGGGAUCAUGAGUUCCAGCCCCAUGUUGGGUG